UAUCCGUCGUGGGCGUAGGAAAUUUGAGAGGAGCUGUCCUUAGUACGAGAGGACCGGGAUGGACAUACCUCUGGUGUACCAGUUGUCGUGCCAACGGCAUAGCUGGGUAGCUAUGUGUGGACGGGAUAAGUGCUGAAAGCAUCUAAGCAUGAAGCCCCCCUCAAGAUGAGAUUUCCCAACUUCGGUUAUAAGAUCCCUCAAAGAUGAUGAGGUUAAUAGGUUCGAGGUGGAAGCAUGGUGACAUGUGGAGCUGACGAAUACUAAUCGAUCGAAGACUUAAUCAAAA
rnacentral:rRNA from 1 species